rnacentral:rRNA from 1 species
GUUUGGCGUGGAUAAUAAUCGGGCAUUAAGUAUUCUACCGAAGCUUUGGGAUGUGUAAACAUCGGUAGGGGAGCAUUCCACUCCGCGUCGAAGGUGAAGCGUGAGCUUUGCUGGAGCGUGUGGAAAAGCAAGUGUAGGUAUAAGUAACGAUAAAGGGGGGGGGAAACCCCCUCGCCGAAAGACUAAGGUUUCCUGAGCUACGCUAGACGGGCCAGGGUUAGUCGGGUCCUACGGCCCAGCCGAACGGCGAGGCCGAUGGCAGAACCGGUUAAUAUUCCGGUACUACCUCAAGGAGUGACGUGGAGACGGAGCAGUGACAGUGCCGCGGACUGACGGAAUAGUCCGCUAAAGGGUGUAGAUGUUGAUUCCUGCAGGCAAAUCCGCAGGAAGAGUCGAACCUGAGAGUAUGGAGCGUCCUUCGGGACAAUCCAAUAGUGCACGUAAACAUACUCCCGAGAAAAUCCGCG